rnacentral:lncRNA from 1 species
UCGUGUUGAUUAAAGAUGAAUUUGAUAGUUUCAUUAUGUUGGUUUUAUUUGUCUUAGUAGAAAUUGACAUCUAUUUCGAUAAUAAUUGAUGUCUGGAGGUUAUAUUGUUCAAUCGGGUAUUCGGGACACUUUUCGUGUCGGAGUACUAUUCACGAGUUACUAUUCAUGAGUUAUUAUUCAUGAGUUACUAUUCACGAGUUACUAUUCACGAGUUACUAUUCAUGAGUUACUAUUCACGAGUUACUAUUCAUGAGUUACUAUUCACCUUAUUACUAUUCACUCUAGUAUUGUUCACUCAGGUAUUUGGA